GUUUUGAAUUUUAUGGGCACACAAUGGAUGACUUGCUUUUAAGGGCCGAAGAAGGACGUGCUAGACUGCGAUAAGCCUCGGGAAGGCGCCAAGAGCCGCAAUUACCCGGGGAUUUCCGAAUGGGGAAACCCUCCCCCGCUUUGCGGGGGGAUUCUUAACUGAAUACAUAGGUUAAGAAAGGGAACCUGGUGAACUGAAACAUCUAAUUAACCAGAGGAAAAGAAAUCGAAUGAGAUUCCCUUAGUAGUGGCGAGCGAAAAGGGAAAAGCCUAAACCUGCUUGUACGUAGGACAAGGAGACCCAACUUUCAAAUCCUAAAUUCUAAGCACUAAGCUCCAAAUAAAUUUUAAGCACUAAAGCAUUAAGCUCUAAACACGAUUGUUAUUCUAAAGUUUAGAAUUUUGAAUUUAGUAAUUAUUU
rnacentral:ncRNA from 1 species